CGUGAGGGAGUAAGGCCUUCGGGUUGUAAACCUUUUUCCUGGGGAAGAAUUCUGACGGUACCCAGGGAAUAAGCCUCGGCCAACUACGUGCCAGCAGCCGCGGUAAUACGUAGGAGGCGAACGUUAUUCGGAUUUACUGGGCGUAAAGGGAGCGUAGGCGGUUCCUCAAGUCGAAUGUGAAAUCUUCCGCCUCAAUCGGAAGGCGCCAUUUGAUACUGGGGGACUUGAGAGCAGCAGAGGGAAAUGGAAUCUCCAGUGUAGCGGUGAAAUGCGUAGAUAUUGGAGAGAACACCAGUGGCGAAGGCGAUUUCCCAGGCUGCUUCUGACGCUGAGGCUCGAAAGCGUGGGGAGCGAACCGGAUUAGAUACCCGCGUAGUCCACGCCCUAAACGGUGGACACUAGAUAU
rnacentral:rRNA from 1 species